rnacentral:rRNA from 1 species
CCUACGGGUGGCAGCAGUGAGGAAUAUUGGUCAAUGGACGAGAGUCUGAACCAGCCAAGUAGCGUGAAGGAUGACUGCCCUAUGGGUUGUAAACUUCUUUUAUAUGGGAAUAAAAUGUUCCACGUGUGGGAUUUUGUAUGUACCAUAUGAAUAAGGAUCGGCUAACUCCGUGCCAGCAGCCGCGGUAAUACGGAGGAUCCGAGCGUUAUCCGGAUUUAUUGGGUGUAAAGGGAGCGUAGGUGGAUUGUUAAGUCAGUUGUGAAAGUUUGCGGCUCAACCGUAAAAUUGCAGUUGAAACUGGCAGUCGUGAGUACAGUAGAGGUGGGCGGAAGUCGUGGUGUAGCGGUGAAAUGCUUAGAUAUCACGAAGAACUCCGAUUGCGAAGGCAGCUCACUGGACUGCAACUGACACUGAGGCUCGAAAGUGUGGGUAUCAAACAGGAUUAGAUACCCUAGUAGUC